GCGGAUGUGGCGGAAUUGGCAGACGCGCUAGACUUAGGAUCUAGUGUUUACGACGUGCAGGUUCAAGUCCUGUCAUCCGCACUA
rnacentral:tRNA from 4 species